GGUGACCUGCGGAAGGAUCAUUGUCGAAACCUGCAAAGCAGACCCGCGAACUCGUUACAAAAAACACCCGGGGGCGACGGCGUCGACGGAGCAGGGAGAGCCUGAUCCUUCGCGUCGAGACCCCCGUCGCCGCUGUGCGGGUGCCUGCACCCGGAGCGCGGCCUAACCAACCCCGGCGCGGAAAGCGCCAAGGAAAACGAAAAKCAUUGCUUGCCCCCGGGGGCGACCCGUUCGCGGUGUGCUCUCUCGGGGAACAUGCGUGUGUCCAAACCAAAACGACUCUCGGCAACGGAUAUCUCGGCUCUCGCAUCGAUGAAGAACGCAGCAAAAUGCGAUACUUGGUGUGAAUUGCAGAAUCCCGUGAACCAUCGAGUUUUUGAACGCAAGUUGCGCCCGAAGCCUCCGUGCUGAGGGCACGUCUGCCUGGGCGUCACGCAUCACGUCGCCAAACGCCGCCGAUCCGAAGGGACUKGUCGGCGUUCGGUCGGAUGUUGGCCUCCCGUGCGCCUCCGUGCGCGGUUGGCCCAAAUGAGAUCCGGCACCUACGCGUGCCUCGACAAUUGGUGGUUGAACUCUUCAACACGCGCGUUGUCGUGAUCCSUYGCGUUGGGWUGUCCGGAUGCUCAGGCCCCCCCGGCGCACAGCGCCCUCGAUGCGACCCCA
rnacentral:misc_RNA from 1 species